ACGAGUCAGUUCCAGAGUAUCGGGGGUUGGAUAUCCCUCGUGAAGAUCGCGGGCAUCGACCGCGAAGACUAAACACUCCUCAAGACCGAUAGCGAACAAGUAGCGUGAGCGAACGCUGAAAAGCACCCCACGAAGGGAGGUGCAAUAGGGCGUGAAAUCAGUUGGCGAUGGAGCGACAGGGCACACAAGGUCCCGGACAAAACGAAUCAGGUGCGAACCUGUAGUAGGAAGUUUGGGAAGCCGGUGUUCUGUCGUACGUUUUGAAAAACGAACCAGGGAGUGUGCCUGUUUGACGAGUCUAACUCGAUCAUCGAGGAAGGCGAAGGGAAACCGACAUGGCCGCAGUGCUUUGCACGAGGGCCGCCGUGUUCAAGCGCGGGGAGUCAAACGGGCACGACCCGAAACCGGACGAUCUACGCAAGGGCAAGAUGAAGCGUGCCGAAAGGCACGUGGAAGUCUGUUAGAGUUGGUGUCCUACAAUACCCUCUCGUGACCUUUGUGUAGGGGUGAAAGGCCCAUCGAGUCCGGAAACAGCUGGUUCCAACCGAAACAUGUCGAAGCAUGACCUCUGCCGAGAUAGUUCAUGGGGUAGAGCGACGGAUUGGGG
rnacentral:rRNA from 1 species